rnacentral:rRNA from 1 species
CCUACGGGUGGCAGCAGUAGGGAAUCUUUCACAAUGGGCGAAAGCCUGAUGGAGCAACGCCGCGUGCAGGAUGAAGGCCUUCGGGUUGUAAGCUGCUUUUAUAAGCGAGAAAUAUGAUGGUAACUUAUGAAUAAGGAUCGGCUAACUACGUGCCAGCAGCCGCGGUCAUACGUAGGAUCCGAGCAUUAUCCGGAGUGACUGGGUGUAAAGAGUUGCGUAGGUGGCAUAAUAAGUAGCUAGUGAAAUCGGGUGGCUCAACCAUUCAGACUAUUAGCUAAAUUGUUAAGCUCGAGACCGGUAGGGGUAACUGGAAUUUCUGGUGUAGGAGUGAAAUCCGUAGAUAUUAGAAGGAACACCAAUAGCGUAGGCAGGUUACUGGGACGGUUCUGACGCUAAGGCACGAAAGCGUAGGGAGCAAACGGGAUUAGAUACCCCUGUAGUC